CAGUAGCCGCGGGAAUACGUAGGGUGCGAGCGUUAAUCGGAAUUACUGGGCGUAAAGCGGGCGCAGACGGUUACUUAAGCAGGAUGUGAAAUCCCCGGGCUCAACCUGGGAACUGCGUUCUGAACUGGGUGACUAGAGUGUGUCAGAGGGAGGUAGAAUUCCACGUGUAGCAGUGAAAUGCGUAGAGAUGUGGAGGAAUACCGAUGGCGAAGGCAGCCUCCUGGGAUAACACUGACGCUCAUGCCCGAAAGCGUGGGUAGCAAACAGGAUUAGAUACCCCAGUAGUCCCUGUCUCUUAUAC
rnacentral:rRNA from 1 species